AUCCCUGUAGCGCAAUGGAUAGCGCGUUGGACUUCUAAUCCAAAGGUCGGGGGUUCGAAUCCCACCUGGGAUG
rnacentral:tRNA from 1 species